GACUUCUCAGUAGGAAGGGGUGAGGCAGCUGUCCUGAGCCAGGAGCUCCACCAUAUCGUGUCCCAUCCUGUUAAGGCAAUUUUGAGAGGCUGCUCUGGAAUAUGUCUCAAUGGUGGAUGUAGGGAAACUUCACAGGCUUUGAUGGGACUGAGGUGGUGUCUGUUGUGUGAAGACAGGAGCUGAAUGCUCAGGAUCUAGGCUGCUUUUCUUGUGGUCAGUUGGGUUACCUGUUUGGGACCAAGUCCAUGUUUACUAAGGAGGCUGAAUAAAUUCUACAGAGGAAAGUGGAGCUCCCAGGAUGACCGAGGAAGGGUAAGAAAAGGGAUCUCCUUUACAGAAAAGGGCUCAGAUAAGAAGAGACAAUUCAAACAAAAAGCCGAGACCCCCUCCUCCCAUUCCAGUGAGAAGCACAGGCAAAGACAGGAACCAGAGUCGAGCUCACAUGAGGGAAACUCCAAGAAAAGGAAAAUCGGUUCCAAGGACAGCUGCCAAGACAGAGCUGGAGAGGAGCACAGCUUGAUGUUGAAAAAGAAACUAAAGUCCUCCACUUUGCACAGCAAUAAACUCAAGGAGACCUGUGAUGCCCACCACAGAGGGCCUUUCAUGACUCACACUGGGUGCACCAAGCAGCACAGGUCUCAGACCCUAGGAGUUCAAUGGCUGUCAUUUCAGAAAAGCUUGGUGACUUUACAAGCUGUGUCAAGGCCAUUUAUCAAGACCUAUACUGGGUAUCGGUGCAGCAGGUCCAUUCUCCACUGACCUGGGAGCAGCUCACUCAGCUUGCCCGGUUCUGGCGGCCUCUAUGUGCUCAGGUGCAGACCUUCUAUUUUAUAGCCACCCAGGUAGGUUAUG
rnacentral:lncRNA from 1 species